GCUGACGAGUGGCGGACGGGUGAGUAAUGUCUGGGAAACUGCCUGAUGGAGGGGGAUAACUACUGGAAACGGUGGCUAAUACCGCAUAACGUCGCAAGACCAAAGAGGGGGACCUUCGGGCCUCUUGCCAUCAGAUGUGCCCAGAUGGGAUUAGCUAGUUGGUGAGGUAACGGCUCACCAAGGCGACGAUCCCUAGCUGGUCUGAGAGGAUGACCAGCCACACUGGAACUGAGACACGGUCCAGACUCCUACGGGAGGCAGCAGUGGGGAAUAUUGCACAAUGGGCGCAAGCCUGAUGCAGCCAUGCCGCGUGUAUGAAGAAGGCCUUCGGGUUGUAAAGUACUUUCAGCGGGGAGGAAGGUGUUGUGGUUAAUAACCGCAGCAAUUGACGUUACCCGCAGAAGAAGCACCGGCUAACUCCGUGCCAGCAGCCGCGGUAAUACGGAGGGUGCAAGCGUUAAUCGGAAUUACUGGGCGUAAAGCGCACGCAGGCGGUCUGUCAAGUCGGAUGUGAAAUCCCCGGGCUCAACCUGGGAACUGCAUUCGAAACUGGCAGGCUUGAGUCUUGUAGAGGGGGGUAGAAUUCCAGGUGUAGCGGUGAAAUGCGUAGAGAUCUGGAGGAAUACCGGUGGCGAAGGCGGCCCCCUGGACAAAGACUGACGCUCAGGUGCGAAAGCGUGGGGAGCAAACAGGAUUAGAUACCCUGGUAGUCCACGCCGUAAACGAUGUCUACUUGGAGGUUGUGCCCUUGAGGCGUGGCUUCCGGAGCUAACGCGUUAAGUAGACCGCCUGGGGAGUACGGCCGCAAGGUUAAAACUCAAAUGAAUUGACGGGGGCCCGCACAAGCGGUGGAGCAUGUGGUUUAAUUCGAUGCAACGCGAAGAACCUUACCUGGUCUUGACAUCCACAGAAGAAUCCAGAGAUGGAUUUGUGCCUUCGGGAACUGUGAGACAGGUGCUGCAUGGCUGUCGUCAGCUCGUGUUGUGAAAUGUUGGGUUAAGUCCCGCAACGAGCGCAACCCUUAUCCUUUGUUGCCAGCGGUCCGGCCGGGAACUCAAAGGAGACUGCCAGUGAUAAACUGGAGGAAGGUGGGGAUGACGUCAAGUCAUCAUGGCCCUUACGACCAGGGCUACACACGUGCUACAAUGGCGCAUACAAAGAGAAGCGACCUCGCGAGAGCAAGCGGACCUCAUAAAGUGCGUCGUAGUCCGGAUUGGAGUCUGCAACUCGACUCCAUGAAGUCGGAAUCGCUAGUAAUCGUGGAUCAGAAUGCCACGGUGAAUACGUUCCCGGGCCUUGUACACACCGCCCGUCACACCAUGGGAGUGGGUUGCAAAAGAAGUAGGUAGCUUAACCUUCGGGAGGGCGCUUACCACUUUGUGAUUCAUGACUGGGGUGAAGUCGUAACAAGGUAACCGUAGGGGAACCUGCGGUUGGAUCACCUCCUUACCUUAAAGAA
rnacentral:rRNA from 1 species